rnacentral:rRNA from 1 species
AGUGAAACUGCGAAUGGCUCAUUAAAUCAGUUAUCGUUUAUUUGAUAGUACCUUACUACUUGGAUAACCGUGGUAAUUCUAGAGCUAAUACAUGCUAAAAAUCCCGACCUCUGGAAGGGAUGUAUUUAUUAGAUAAAAAACCAAUGGCUUCGGCCUCCUUGGUGAUUCAUGAUAACUUAACGAAUCGCAUGGCCUUGUGCCGGCGAUGGUUCAUUCAAAUUUCUGCCCUAUCAACUUUCGAUGGUAGGAUAGUGGCCUACCAUGGUUUCAACGGGUAACGGGGAAUUAGGGUUCUAUUCCGGAGAGGGAGCCUGAGAAACGGCUACCACAUCCAAGGAAGGCAGCAGGCGCGCAAAUUACCCAAUCCCGACACGGGGAGGUAGUGACAAUAAAUACUGAUACAGGGCCCUUUCGGGUCUUGUAAUUGGAAUGAGUACAAUUUAAAUCCCUUAACGAGGAACAAUUGGAGGGCAAGUCUGGUGCCAGCAGCCGCGGUAAUUCCAGCUCCAAUAGCGUAUAUUAAAGUUGUUGCAGUUAAAAAGCUCGUAGUUGAACCUUGGGUCUGGCUGGCCGGUCUGCCUCACCGCAUGCACUGGUCCGGCCGGACCUUUCCUUCUGGCUAACCUCAUGCCCUUUACUGGGUGUGUUGGGGAACCAGGACUUUUACUUUGAAAAAAUUAGAGUGUUCAAAGCAGGCAUUUGCUCGAAUACAUUAGCAUGGAAUAAUAGAAUAGGACGUGCGGUUCUAUUUUGUUGGUUUCUAGGAUCGUCGUAAUGAUUAAUAAGGGAUAGUCGGGGGCAUCCGUAUUCAAUUGUCAGAGGUGAAAUUCUUGGAUUUAUUGAAGACGAACUACUGCGAAAGCAUUUGCCAAGGAUGUUUUCAUUAAUCAGGAACGAAAGUUGAGGGAUCGAAGACGAUCAGAUACCGUCGUAGUCUCAACCAUAAACUAUGCCGACUAGGGAUCGGGCGAUGUACUAUUCGUGACUCGCUCGGCACCUUACGAGAAAUCAAAGUCUUUGGGUCUGGG